UUAUAGAUUUGUUGGAUCCCUUUUCGGAGAGAAUGAAUUUUGAAGCUAUGGACCCUCCUUCUCUCCUCUCUUUUCUCUUCCUCUUGCCAAACAAAAGAUUCUACCUCUCAUUCCAUUACUCUCCCACCAAUCUUCUCCAUCCACCCAUCUCUCCUCCCUGCCAAUCAUAGUGUAAAUCUCCCUCACAUCUAACCUCUCAGCUCUCUCUCUCUUUGUCUCACCCUUUUCUCUUGCAGGUGGCUGGCGCGGGAGGCUCGACGGAGACUGCGACGGGGAUCUACGUGAACCAGACCCCAAAACUUCGGUCGAGCCUUCUCCCUGACGUGACCAGACCCCAAACCUAAUCUAUAUAACUGUUGAACUUGUUGAGUCUCUCGUCCUUCUCCCUCUCUGUGUAUCCUUGCUCUCUCUAUCUUCUUAUGAUGACAUGCUCUGUGCAAUAAUGGCGUGUGUCUUCAAGUUUGAUUUCAGCUAUUAAGGUACAAUUACAAAAGCUUUAUUGAAAGGAAUAGACACAUGAAAAACUCUUGAUUUAUGGCAGGAGCUCUUGUUUGCAAACUGUAUAAAUACAGAGGAUAGCCACUCUUCAAAGAAAACUGCUCUGUUUUCCAUCUAUGUACCUUGCUGAAAUAUUUUUGUUGUGAUUGGAAGGAUUAGUGGAAGGUUAUGACUGUGACUGAACCUAUUGGCAGAGUCGCAACACAUGUAUCUUGGGAUGAAGACAUACACUUGAGAAAAAUAAUGGGACUCGAAGUUAAUGGGCUGCCAAGCUAUUUUGAGCGGAUGAGUCACAACUAGGGUAACUAUAGGGUUAGUUGUUUUAUCAAAAAUGAAACUUAGUGUGAAUUUAUAGUUUUUAGUUUUACUCAGUAAAAACAAGUACUUUUGAUCAUGUAAUUUUACUUUUUGAAAUUAUGUGGGAUUUUUUUUAUAUAUAUAUUUUUAUCUAUAAGACAACAGUUCCUACAAAGUAGUUUUCUCAUGUAAAACAUGGCACGAUGUUUGUCUAAAAACUGUGGUCUCAUGUAACGACCCUUGCUAAAAAAUUGUUGUCUUAUGUAACGACCCUUGCUAAAAAACUAUUGUCUCAUGUAAUACUGGGGACGACUCUUUUAUUUGAA